rnacentral:tRNA from 1 species
GGGGCUAGGAUGUUAUCGCUGCUAACGAUGAUUUGAACUCCUUGCGGUGUUCGGCCUUCU